GGCGGUGAUGGAUGGGGAUGCGUCUGAUUAGCUUGUUGGCGGUAACGGCCCACCCAAGGCUACGAUCAGUAGGGGUUCUGAGAGGAAGGUCCCCCACAUUGGAACUGAGACACGGUCCAAACUCCUACGGGAGGCAGCAGUGAGGAAUAUUGGUCAAUGGGCGAGAGCCUGAACCAGCCAAGUAGCGUGCAGGAUGACGGCCCUAUGGGUUGUAAACUGCUUUUACGCGGGGAUAAAGUGCGUGACGUGUCGCGCAUCGCAGGUACCGCGUGAAUAAGGACCGGCUAAUUCCCGUGCCAGCAGCCGCGGUAAAU
rnacentral:rRNA from 1 species